AGGUUAGGGCAGAGAGCUGAGAGCCAGGAUUGCUGGGCUGUUGGCACUACAGAAGUGCAGAAGAUUAUAACAAUAGAGAAAAACAUGCUUAGGGCUCUCUUUAAAAAAGGAAAGCAGUUAUGGGACUUCCUCUUGAUCAAUGCCCCAGAGUGGGAUGGGGCGGGGGAGGGAAGAGAAGAGAGUCAGACUCUAUAUUUCCCCCUUGCUCUAUUUGUUUAUCACUGUGAGGAGGUGAAGGCUACUGCCU